rnacentral:lncRNA from 1 species
AACAAUUUCCUCAAUGCAUGAUUUUUAUGAUUUUCUUAGCAAUUUUGUCAAUUAUUAAACAUCAGAUAUGAUUGUUUUGCAAUGAGCCACACAGCAUAGAAUGAGAUCACACUGCCCCCCAGGGCACAUCCAAGUUGGCGGAACAAUCAUAUUGGGGGGCUCUGGAACCAAGUGUGGGGAGUUCGAUUCCUGGUUGGAGCAGCC